GCAGAACGCGAAGAACCUUACCCCAGGCUUGACAUCCUUGGAAGGCUUCCGAAAGGAAACUGUGCCCUCGGGAACCAAGUGACAGGUGAUGCAUGGCCGUCGUCAGCUCGUGUCGUGAGAUGUUUGGUUAAGUCCAUCAACGAGCGCAACCCUUUUAGUUAGUUGUAUUUCUCUAGCUAGACUGCCCUGGUAACAGGGAGGAAGGAGGGGAUGAUGUCAGGUCAGUAUUUCCCUUACGUCUGGGGCUACAAACACGCUACAAUGGCCGGUACAAAGGGCAGCCAAGUCGCGAGACGGAGCAAAUCCCACCAAAGCCGGUCUCAGUUCGGAUAGCAGGCUGAAACUCGCCUGCUUGAAGCUGGAAUCGCUAGUAAC
rnacentral:rRNA from 1 species